CCUACGCGAGGCAGCAGUGGGGAAUGCUGGACAAUGGGCGCAAGCAUGAUGCAGCCAUGCCGCGUGAGUGAUGAAGGCCUUAGGGUCGUAAAGCUCUUUCGCCAGAGAUGAUAAUGACAGUAUCAGGUAAAUAAACCCGGGCUAAUUCCGUGCCAGCAGCCGCGGUAAU
rnacentral:rRNA from 1 species